AUUGAACGCUGGCGGCAGGCCUAACACAUGCCAGUCGAGCGGAUGAAGGGAGCUUGCUCCUGGAUUCAGCGGCGGACGGGUGAGUAAUGCCUAGGAAUCUGCCUGGUAGUGGGGGAUAACGUCCAGAAACGGGCGCUAAUACCGCAUACGUCCUGAGGGAGAAAGUGGGGGAUCUUCGGACCUCACGCUAUCAGAUGAGCCUAGGUCGGAUUAGCUAGUUGGUGGGGUAAAGGCCUACCAAGGCGACGAUCCGUAACUGGUCUGAGAGGAUGAUCAGUCACACUGGAACUGAGACACGGUCCAGACUCCUACGGGAGGCAGCAGUGGGGAAUAUUGGACAAUGGGCGAAAGCCUGAUCCAGCCAUGCCGCGUGUGUGAAGAAGGUCUUCGGAUUGUAAAGCACUUUAAGUUGGGAGGAAGGGCAGUAAGUUAAUACCUUGCUGUUUUGACGUUACCAACAGAAUAAGCACCGGCUAACUUCGUG
rnacentral:rRNA from 1 species